ACGACCAAAAUUGAUGCAAGUAUUCAUGAGAAAGAAAUCAAACAAAAAAUGUGAUUCAUGGAAAUCUUGGAAACACAUAGGUAUUCAAAAUCGAGCACGAAUCCAAUGCCCCUUCUAUAGAGACAUUAGAUGCCCAUGUACCUCAUAUUCAUAUAAGAGGAUGUGAGAAUCUAGAUCGAUACUCACCUCAUGACAUCAAGCAUUCCUACAAAAAAA
rnacentral:misc_RNA from 1 species